rnacentral:rRNA from 1 species
AGUGAGCGCUGGCGGUAGGCCUAACACAUGCAAGUCGAACGGCAGCACAGUAAGAGCUUGCUCUUACGGGUGGCGAGUGGCGGACGGGUGAGGAAUACAUCGGAAUCUACUUUUUCGUGGGGGAUAACGUAGGGAAACUUACGCUAAUACCGCAUACGACCUACGGGUGAAAGCAGGGGAUCUUCGGACCUUGCGCGAUUGAAUGAGCCGAUGUCGGAUUAGCUAGUUGGCGGGGUAAAGGCCCACCAAGGCGACGAUCCGUAGCUGGUCUGAGAGGUUGAUCAGCCACACUGGAACUGAGACACGGUCCAGACUCCUACGGGAGGCAGCAGUGGGGAAUAUUGGACAAUGGGCGCAAGCCUGAUCCAGCCAUACCGCGUGGGUGAAGAAGGCCUUCGGGUUGUAAAGCCCUUUUGUUGGGAAAGAAAAGCAGCAGGUUAAUACCCCGCUGUUCUGACGGUACCCAAAGAAUAAGCACCGGCUAACUUCGUG